UGCCUACGGGGCGCAGCAGUCGGGAAUAUUGCGCAAUGGAGGAAACUCUGACGCAGUGACGCCGCGUAUAGGAAGAAGGUUUUCGGAUUGUAAACUAUUGUCGUUAGGGAAGAUAAAAGACUGUACCUAAGGAGGAAGCCCCGGCUAACUAUGUGCCAGCAGCCGCGGUAAUACAUAGGGGGCAAGCGUUAUCCGGAAUUAUUGGGUGUAAAGGGUGCGUAGACGGAAGAGCAAGUCUGAUGUGAAAAUCCGGGGCCCAACCCCGGAACUGCAUUGGAAACUGUUUAUCUAGAGUGUCGGAGAGG
rnacentral:rRNA from 1 species